AUGACAAGUCCCGAAGACUCUGUGUGACUCCGUCCCAUACAGCUUGGAAACAAGCACAACAAGCCGUGUGUUUUUCAGCAAGUGUGUGUAUAUGUGUUAAAACUUUUAAGAAAAAGGAGAAGGAGAAAACUCCAGAUGGAGGUUGCCAGGCAGGGUGGGAAUGGGAGAGAAAGAAGCAUGUUGAUUGCUUUCUCUGCUGUCCACUUCUUGGAGUGGGGUAGGUUCACAAGUGCUCAUCACGUUAUUAAAAUGAACGGAUGAAAAUACAAGGGAGCCUUACAUGAACAAACGAUGAACCAAGGAUGGCAUCAGUUCACUUGAGCCCCAGGAUCCCGAGAGAAAGGCAGUGAGGACGCGCGGGUCCAUCCCGAAGAAACGGCCACAGUGUGUUCCUUUGCGGUUUCCCAUUAUCCGCCACGGCGGGGCAGGAGUACAGAGGGCCCCGCCACAUGGGGACCCACAGCCUCCAUCUUCAAUUGAAAAAACUUAUAAAUUGUUUAUUUCCAGAAUUUUUUACUUAAUAUUUUCAGACUGCAGUUGACCUCAGGACACUGAACCAUGGAAAGCGAAACCGCGGAUAAGGGGGAACAAGUGUGUUUCCCAAAGUCACAGUGCACUUAGAGGGGGUCCUCCCACCCCAUCCUCCCCUCAGACAGAGACUGGGUGUUGUGUGGGUUUCUACUGGGUCCUCUGAGAGGGCAGCGCUUGGGGUGAAGAAGUAGCCCCCAGACUCUGUCCACCCCCUCCCGCCUCUGGAAUGUAUCAGGGGGAAGACAGGCCUCCAGUUCCAUGAGUUCCUGCCCUGGCCCCGCCCAGCACCCUCAUGCCCACCCCCAUUCUCACUUGGCCAGCACCACUGACCCCAGCGCACUCAGGCACAAGCGUGUUCCCUGUGCAUAUGCUGUCCGUGCACAUACAUCCUGAACCAGGCACACAGAUGCACACACAUACACGUGUGUGUGUACACAUGCACUGUGUUCACACCCCAGAAACACACCUGUGUAGACACGUGCAUGCACAGACAUGUUUCUGUACUCGAAGUGGGUUCUGAGACAGUGAGCAGCAGGCACUUGGGUUUUUGGCCAGGAGCGCUGCUGUGCUAAGGCUGGGAGGGCCUGGGUCCCUGCAGGCGUCGCG
rnacentral:lncRNA from 10 species